rnacentral:rRNA from 1 species
AGGGUUUGAUCAUGGCUCAGAUUGAACGCUGGUGGUAUGCUUAACACAUGCAAGUCGAACGGUAACAUUGGAGCUUGCUCCAGAUGACGAGUGGCGGACGGGUGAGUAACGCGUAGGAAUCUGCCUAGUAGUGGGGGACAACAUGUGGAAACGCAUGCUAAUACCGCAUACGCCCUACGGGGGAAAGCGAGGGAUCUUCGGACCUCGCGCUAUUAGAUGAGCCUGCGUUAGAUUAGCUAGUUGGUGGGGUAAUGGCCUACCAAGGCGACGAUCUAUAGCUGGUCUGAGAGGACGAUCAGCCACACUGGGACUGAGACACGGCCCAGACUCCUACGGGAGGCAGCAGUGGGGAAUAUUGGACAAUGGGCGAAAGCCUGAUCCAGCAAUACCACGUGUGUGAAGAAGGCCUGAGGGUUGUAAAGCACUUUCAAUUGGGAGGAAAACAGCUGGGUUAAUAGCCCUGCUCUUGACAUUACCUUUAGAAGAAGCACCGGCUAACUCCGUGCCAGCAGCCGCGGUAAUACGGAGGGUGCGAGCGUUAAUCGGAAUUACUGGGCGUAAAGCGUACGUAGGCGGUUAUUUAAGUCAGAUGUGAAAGCCCCGGGCUCAACCUGGGAACUGCAUUUGAUACUGGAUAACUAGAGUUUGAUAGAGGAGAGUAGAAUUUCUGGUGUAGCGGU